rfam:Brachypodium distachyon strain Bd21 chromosome 4, whole genome shotgun sequence.
CAUAUACUUCCUCCGUCCAACGAAAAAUGUCUUAAUUUUGUCAAAAUUUGAAUGUAUCUAGAAAUAACUUAAUGCAUAGAUGCAUUCAAAUUUGUCAAAUAUGCGACAUCCUUUGUUGGCCGGAGGGAGUAUAAC